rnacentral:rRNA from 1 species
UACGUAGGGGGCAAGCGUUAUCCGGAUUUAUUGGGUUUAAAGGGUGCGUAGGCGGUCCGGAAAGUCAGCGGUAAAAGCCCGGUGCUCAACGCCGUCGAGCCGUUGAAACUGGCGUUCUUGAGUGGGCGAGAAGUACGCGGAAUGCGCGGUGUAGCGGUGAAAUGCAUAGAUAUCGCGCAGAACUCCGAUUGCGAAGGCAGCAUGCCGGCUCCACACUGACGCUGAGGCACGAAAGCGUGGGUAUCGAACAGG